rnacentral:rRNA from 1 species
UACGGGGGGAGCAAGCGUUGUUCGGAAUCACUGGGCGUAAAGGGCGUGUAGGCGGUUCGGUAAGUGGGAUGUGAAAUCCCCGGGCUCACCCCGGGACCUGCAUCCCAAACUGCUGAGCUUGAGUACAGGAGAGGGUGGGGGAAUUCCAGGUGUAGCGGUGAAAUGCGUAGAUAUUGGGAAGAGCACCGGUGGCGAAGGCGGCUCUCUGGACCGAGACUGACGCUGAGGCGCGAAAGCGUGGGGAGCAACAGG